rnacentral:rRNA from 1 species
AUUGAACGCUGGCGGCAGGCCUAACACAUGCAAGUCGAGCGGAUGAGUGGAGCUUGCUCCAUGAUUCAGCGGCGGACGGGUGAGUAAUGCCUAGGAAUCUGCCUGGUAGUGGGGGAUAACGUUUCGAAAGGAACGCUAAUACCGCAUACGUCCUACGGGAGAAAGUGGGGGAUCUUCGGACCUCACGCUAUCAGAUGAGCCUAGGUCGGAUUAGCUAGUUGGUGAGGUAAAGGCUCACCAAGGCGACGAUCCGUAACUGGUCUGAGAGGAUGAUCAGUCACACUGGUACUGAGACACGGUCCAGACUCCUACGGGAGGCAGCAGUGGGGAAUAUUGGACAAUGGGCGAAAGCCUGAUCCAGCCAUGCCGCGUGCGUGAAGAAGGUCUUCGGAUUGUAAAGCACUUUAAGUUGGGAGGAAGGGCAGUAAGUUAAUACCUUGCUGUUUUGACGCUACCAACAGAAUAAGCACCGGCUAACUUCGUGCCAGCCGCCGCCGUAAUAC